GAGCAAAGGGGGACUAAAUCGGACAAAGGAAAGGAGAAAGCAAACGAGUAGCCGAAUUGGAACCGUUCUACCCUACAUAAUGUCUCUUGGACUCGUAUUGUUGCGUGCUCGGAACCGUCGUUGAAGUCAUCACACCGGCUGGAAAUCUUUUGGUAUUGUCUUCGUAGUUGAACUAGGAGAACAUUUGGCAUGUAUAGGCUAUUAUGUUUUGUUGAAUUGUGGGUUGUAAACUUUAAGCCAUGUGAAAAUGGCCUAUGUGGUCGUUGAGUGGGAUGCUAGAACCUAUAGCCACGAGUCUUAGAAACUUUAAUUUUGAUAAGGUGGCCAUAAUUUGUGUCAUGUAUGAUGGAUGAUUAGUAAGGCCAAGGAAAGAUUCAUGAAA